UACGUAGGAGGCGAGCGUUGUCCGGAAUCAUUGGGCGUAAAGAGCGUGUAGGCGGCCAGACAGGUCCGUUGUGAAAACUGGAGGCUCAACCUUCAGACGUCGACGGAAACCGUCUGGCUAGAGUCCGGAAGAGGAGAGUGGAAUUCCUGGUGUAGCGGUGAAAUGCGCAGAUAUCAGGAAGAACACCGAUGGCGAAGGCAGCUCUCUGGGACGGUACUGACGCUGAGACGCGAAAGCGUGGGGAGCGAACAGG
rnacentral:rRNA from 1 species